GACGAACGCUGGCGGCGUGCCUAAUACAUGCAAGUAGAACGCUGAAGGAGGAGCUUGCUUCUCUGGAUGAGUUGCGAACGGGUGAGUAACGCGUGGGUAACCUGCCUGGUAGCGGGGGAUAACUAUUGGAAACGAUAGCUAAUACCGCAUAAUAGCAGUUAUUGCAUGAUAACUGUUUGAAAGGUGCAAUUGCACCACUACCAGAUGGGCCUGCGUUGUAUUAGCUAGUUGGUGGGGUAACGGCUCACCAAGGCGACGAUACAUAGCCGACCUGAGAGGGUGAUCGGCCACACUGGGACUGAGACACGGCCCAGACUCCUACGGGAGGCAGCAGUAGGGAAUCUUCGGCAAUGGACGGAAGUCUGACCGAGCAACGCCGCGUGAGUGAAGAAGGUUUUCGGAUCGUAAAGCUCUGUUGUAAGAGAAGAACGAGUGUGAGAGUGGAAAGUUCACACUGUGACGGUAUCUUACCAGAAAGGGACGGCUAACUACGUG
rnacentral:rRNA from 1 species